CUGAACAGUCCAGUCACCCUCGGCCCCACCCCGUGUCCUAAGGCAGCCAGCCGGCUGGGCCCUGAAUAGCACAGAGCUCUGGUGGUGAGGGAGAGUAACUUGUCUUGGCAGGAUGGGGAGAGAGAAUGACGCACAUCACAGCGAGUGGAAAUCUGAGAAACGACGGAAGACCCAUCCUGCAGGCUGGGGUGGCCAAGGUGAACCAGCAAAGGUGACUUGCCACAUGGGUCCAAGAGGCUGGCAUGGCUCCACGUUGGACACCAAAGGCAGCUGGUAUGCUGUGAGCUAUCCUAGGGAGAGGCCACACCUGGCAAGGAACUGAGAGAGGCUUCAUGAGGAACUGAUUCCUGCCAACAACCACAUGAAGAAGCUCGAAGGGGAUCUGUCCCCAGUCAAGCCUUGAGAUGAGCCCACAGCCUCAGUCAAUACCUUAAUUACAGCCAUGUGAGAGACCCUGAGAGAGAGAACCCAACUAAGCUACACCAGGAUUCUGGAACCACAAGAAGG
rnacentral:lncRNA from 1 species